ACCGACCGACCAACUUACGGCCGGAGGGACCGACCGACCGACUGACAGUCGGACCGACCGACUGACGCCAUCACCGGCCAAUUAUCGGCUCACGACCGACUGAGGAUAUGUCGGGAGCACCUUUCCCGACCGACUGAACCCGGAGGUCUGCUGGCCGACUCACGUAAAACUCGCCGACCAACGGAGGGGCCCGACGCCACUCAGCU
rnacentral:lncRNA from 1 species